AACUAACCAUCAUGCUUUGGCUGCUCGUAAUAGUUUUGUUGGUGUGAUCCUCCGUAGUAUGGGGUGUAUUGGUUGUACUUGGUGUAGUAGUCAUUGUGUCCUCCAUGAUACUUUGGCAUGUACGAGUGAUAGUAAGAGGCAAUUGGAUU
ensembl:ncRNA K02B12.12 ncRNA